rnacentral:rRNA from 1 species
GGCGGCGUGCCUAACACAUGCAAGUCGAACGGAAGUUAGAGCUUCGGGUGAGCGGCGGACGGGUGAGUAACGCGUGGGUAACCUGCCCUGUACACACGGAUAAUAUACCGAAAGGUAUGCUAAUACGAGAUAAUAUAUUUUAAUCGCAUGGUUAAGAUAUCAAAGCUCCGGCGGUACAGGAUGGACCCGCGUCUGAUUAGCUAGUUGGUGAGGUAAUGGCUCACCAAGGCGACGAUCAGUAGCCGACCUGAGAGGGUGAUCGGCCACACUGGAACUGAGACACGGUCCAGACUCCUACGGGAGGCAGCAGUGGGGAAUAUUGGGCAAUGGGCGCAAGCCUGACCCAGCAACGCCGCGUGAAGGAAGAAGGCUUUCGGGUUGUAAACUUCUUUUGUCAGGGAAGAGUAGAAGACUGUACCUGGCGAAUAAGCCACGGCUAACUACGUG